GUGGGGAAUAUUGGGCAAUGGGCGAAAGCCUGACCCAGCAACGCCGCGUGAAGGAAGAAGGCUUUCGGGUUGUAAACUUCUUUUACCAGGGACGAAGGACGUGACGGUACCUGGAGAAAAAGCUCCGGCUAACUACGUGCCAGCAGCCGCGGUAAUACGUAGGGAGCGAGCGUUGUCCGGAUUUACUGGGUGUAAAGGGCGUGUAGGCGGAGACGCAAGUCAGGAGUGAAAUCCCCGGGCUCAACCCGGGAACUGCUUUUGAAACUGCGUCCCUUGAGUAUCGGAGAGGCAGGCGGAAUUCCUAGUGUAGCGGUGAAAUGCGUAGAUAUUAGGAGGAACACCAGUGGCGAAGGCGGCCUGCUGGACGACAACUGACGCUGAGGCGCGAAAGCGUGGGGAGCAAACAGGA
rnacentral:rRNA from 1 species